CUGAGGGACCGCGUUUCUCCCCCCGCCGCUCUCGGCCGCCUCAGCCUUGCGCGGCGCGGACAGAGGCCGUGAGGGCGCAGCGGCCGGGCGGGAAGGCGGGCAGCCCCGCAGCCCCCCGCUCGAGGACUGAGGGUGCCGGACGGUUCUGCCCCGGCCCCAGUGCUGCCCUCGCCACCCUCUGCGGGGUGAAAACCCCCAGCUCCCGUCUGGAACCCGCAGAGGCCCCUUCUCGACUCUCCGUGCAGGAUUAUGGCGAGGGCGCCGCUACAGCCACGGCCACCCCGGAGCAGCCCGGUGCCGGGUGAGCUGACGGGACCGGCCGGGCCUGCCUGCCGGGCCGCGGUGCAGACAGCACAGGCCUCCCUCACCUCGCUGAGCUCGUCUGUCUCAAGCCGGCCUAGGAUGAUCUCAUUAUAUGUUGUAGUUCAUCCCGUGGUGGUGCAGUGACAAUGUAAAUGCGUUAGGAAUUUGCCCAAUAUCGGGUUUCUUCACCCCUCCACUGAAGUUGGGCCUUACUGAAGACAGAGAGUGAAAAGAUGAGUAUUGCAACUCUUCUGACAUGGUAUAGUUGCUGGCAAAACAGAUCCCAACUUGUUUGCGGCUCAUCUAAAGUCUUAAGAGGUUUCUGGCAAAAGGACUUUGACAGAAGAUCACAGAAUCACAGACUGGUUGGGCUUGGGAGGGACCUCUGGAGAUCAUCCAGUCCAAACCACCUGCUAAAGCAGGUUCACCAGAGCAGAUCACACAGGAAUGUGUCCAGGCCCACUGGAGAGCGCGUAUAACAGAGAAAGGGGGACCAAGCUGAAUCUCUCCAGCAGCUUGGGCAGGCACUGUCACAGCUGCAUGAAGUGUUGACCUCAGCUGAAUGUCAGAGCUCCAUACUUAGUCCUGUGCAAGCAAGCAGCCUAUCUCCAGUUAGUAUAUCCACUGCAAACCCUUACAUUUUAAUUAUUCUUAUGUACGUUCCUUCAGAAGAAUGCAGAACAGCAAGGAAUAAUGGAUUCAAUAGGUUUCCAGAAGUCUGCUAAUUAUUUUCAAAGAAAUUUUGUGUGAAUCCUUCCUGCUCAUGAUGGACAAAGGAAAGGAAACCACAGGGCUGCAGAGGUGACCAGAGGAGCUUGCUGAACAACUGAAUAUGAACCAUCGGCAGAUCAGAGAUGAUGACACCUGUCAUGGUGCGUCUAGUCCAAACGCUCCCCAACCGGACACUUGCCAAGGGAGGUGCAGAAUGGGCCUCAGCUUUGAAUCCCUGUGGAAAACCAGAUGAAGUAUGUGGAGGCUCUUUUGGGACAUGGUGUAACCAGCAGGCCUGGAGAACAGAAUCGGUGCUCACUCAAACGCGCAGUAAGCCGUGCCUCAGAACAGCAGCCGCCCGCUCCGGAAUCCAGGCUACUAUUUGCAGCCACUGAGGGGACCACGGGGGAACAUGUCAGUUCUGGUGGCACCGUCACCGCGGCCCCAUCCCGAGCACCGUGGGCCUCUGUGCUGUUUCAGGGCUGCUAAAGCCAGGACAACAUGUUCAGCCGCAUCAUUCCGUUGUGAGUCUGGCACUGGCUGUAGCUGUACAUUUGCCUUGUUUCUCAAGAGAAGGAACCCUGAGUAGUUCUCUGGCAAUGAAGGAACUUCUAAAGCACGAGAAACCAGCAGCUACUGGAGAGUAAUGACAUCUGUGCUCACAAGAUUGUGUUUAUCUCUUCAAGAUUGCAUUAGCAUUCUGUUCUACAUAUUUUGAUGGGUUUCAGCGUGUGAGGACUUUUCUCCUGACAGUGACAGAAAGUGCUUUGUCAGAAUAAAACAGAAUUAAAGGAGAGAGAGGAAGCUUUGUCAGCUUCACCUAUACUUAGUAAGAGGCUUCUAAAGCUUGUUGCAUAGGAAGAAAUUAAGAAAAAAAACCCCACAAAUGUAAGGAUAGGAUGAAAUCUAAGUAUGCCAAACAGUAAAGUGCAGGGAAUAUGGGUUCUGCAGUAAUUUUUUCAAAGCAUUUUGAAGACAUUCUGAGGCAGGCUGUCUUUAAUACCAUCUCUUUGCUAAUGCCUUUGCCAUUAUAGCAUCAAGCUGAAGACACAAGCUGUCAUGCAGGGGCUCAUACAGGAACAGUUACCCAGGAGCUGCAAGACACCAUUUCCUCGCUUCGCUCUUCAGUAGGUACCAAAGAUUGACGGCCUAUUGUAGUGCACAUUGUCAUUGAACUCAAUCGCUGCUUUAGCAUUGAUUUCAGUGGAGCAAAACGAGGCCCUCGCAUCUCUAACUGCGGCAAUAAUGUGCGGAAACUUAAUAGAUACAGCUGAGGGCAAAGUUAAUUCCAGUAUUUGGAGAGAGGGAGAGAGUGGUACAUUUGCAGUUUUGAGGAACAAAAAUAUUUUGAGUUAGUCACAGGACAUUCGAUGUCUUAAUAGAAAAAUUUAAGGCUCUAGCAUAAGUAAAGUCUAAUUUGUUCAGAAAUUUGUAUACAAGACAGAAGUAAAUAGGCUGAGCUAACAAUCCUGUAGAAAUCUUUGCAUUCUCACUGAUUUCAAAGGAUUGGUCAUGUACACUUAUGUGUUUGUGAUAAACCACUAUUGAAUGCUGAACUGCAAAAAUAAGGUAGAAGAUCACGUAAUUACUGACAGAGGGCUAAUUUUAUAUCCAAAGCCUGAACACAGAUUUUCUGUGAGAGCAUCAGCUACCAUCAGGUUUAGUAAGGAACGCAUAGAUAAGUUUGGUGUUUUGAGCAAACCCUUAGCAGCAUUCCAUGACGGAUUUCUGCUUUUGUCAUCCAUUUUCAAGCACAAGGUAUAAGAAAUACUUCUGAAUUCAAAUGCACCCUUAUCAGGAGAGUUGUUUGUUCUAUUCAGCGUGCAAUUCUUGAGUGACGGGAAAACUCAUGCCACAGUUUUGCAGAGUUACAAACACAAAGACUUUUACAACACAGUGACUUUUUGCACAGAUUUAAUGUUUAAUUACUUUUAUGAAUUUGCAUAUAUUCAAAAUUUCUGCAAUCUUGAAAUAGCUCCAAGCUAUUUCUCCAAUUUUUCAAUGCCAACUCUACAUUUAGUUAGUCGUGCUUAACUGAGAAUCUUGUGGUGGUACUUCGGUGCUUUAAAUGAUCACACAGAUUGUCAGCAUGCUGCACCUGCUUUGACAUUCACUUUCUAUAAAUGUUUUUGCUAAUAAGCAGAGUUCUUGGUCUUGCAUCAGUAUUCAGAGGGUGUCCAUCUUCCCUAUAGCCCGUGAUACAGAACUCCAGCUGAAUAGUCACAGAGUGAUUUAAAAAUAAUUACUUAAGCAGUCUGUUGUAUGAUGGAGCACAAAGUAGCAUCAGAUCAAGAACCGAAUGUGCAGUCCCCCAGUGUCCUGAAAGUUCUUACUAACAGCAAUUAGAAGCUCUGUCACAAAUUUGCAAAUUGCAAAUGUGAUUAACAUUAAUUGGAAAUGGUUUUAUUAAACUGAAGAUCUGAUUAGCAAGUGAACUGCACAAUGCAGAUUUCCCAGCAGGAGUUACAAGACAGCCUAUAAUUGAAUGCAGAUAUGAGUUAAUUCAUUUCUCUGUGUAAAUGAUGUGGUAUAGAAAGCUUUGUAUAAACCAGAGAUGUCCAUCUUCAGAAUAAUUCCUGGAGGAUUUGUUGCUGCUGGCCGGUAGGCUCUGUUGGAAAUGACUUACAGAACAUUAGGAAAGAGGGAAGGUGGCAGCUCCUUCCCACUGGUGGGCUUUAGGAACUUCUAGGGCAGGUGUAGCAAUAGACAUUGCUGCCUCCCGCUCUCUGCAGUGAUAUUACAAAACAUCCGCAGUUUGUUUCCUGUAUCUUUCAUUCCAAAUUGCCUAGUAGAGUUAAAGUAAGACUGUCCCUGUUUGAAUGCUGUAAGAAAUUGUGAGAAUAUGUCCAUGAAUUCCUUGCUUGUCUGCUUUUAUGCUGUUUGUACAUUCAGAACUAUCCAGCUACGGUGUGAUAAACUAAGACAGAAUAUCUUCGCCGAUGCCUGGUACAGUCAUUGCUUUUAUCUGUUCAGCCUGUAUAUUAGGCUUCUCCAAGGAACAUGACACGCACGCAACUGAUGACAUACCUGGAGUCAAGCUCUCACAUAAGAAUCCACAUGGAUCUGAAACCACCACACUCAGUUUUCUGGAAGCAGAGAUUGUCAGCACGAGUCAUGGGAAGACCAUGGUUUAGCUUAAGGAAGAGUCCAUGUAUCAAAACCAGUAACACAAGAGACCUCCUUCAUUUGUAAUUUCUAGGGAUGUUAUUCUUCAACUCUCUAGAGCCAUAUUUUACAAAGUUGAAGGAGAGCUCUACAGAGAAGAGAUUUUCCCAUAAAAGUGACAGAUCUAACUUUUCCUGUAGCAUUUGGCCAGUUUUUGGUGGAGUUCGGGUAACACAACAUACCAGUCUCUGUGUGUGUAGGAGUGUGGGGAAACAAAGUCCUGUUUACCAUUUUGUAUGGAGAGUUAAAUGUUUCUGCAAUCCAUCCACAAAAUAAAAAGUAUGUUCCUCCUGAUACUUCCAGGCUUGUUAUCAGCAGUGCAGUGACAUAGGCUUUGACACACAUUAAACUUUUCUCAGAGGGAACCAAGUUUUUGUUUUGUGUUUGGGUGAAAGUAGUUCAUUUCUUCAAGAGGAAUGAAUGGAGUAUUGUACAUUUGGUCCGCGAUGUCUAAUCCUCACUUGUGAGUCUUCUGUCAUUAUAACCGCCUCUUUUGUCAGGGAAACAAUGUUCCUUUUCCGCUGCCUUCUGAAUUCCCUGGCCAGUGCUGCAGUUCGGAGUCCUUCUGCCGCUGCCGGGUCCUCUCUGCCGCCCCUCCGCAUUUUCCAUGGGAAAGGAAUCUCGUUCCCCAUUCAGCAAGCUGGGAAUGCAGCUCAUUAGGAUCUUGGCAGCAUGAACCAAGAUUGUCAUUUAACUGCAGAUUUCAUUACGGCCCAACAGAAGACGAUUUGUCAGAUAGGGAACAAAAUGACUACACUAUAUAUUUAGACACCUUCCCCACCCCGAAUUUUAGUUUGCUUUUUGAUAUAAAGAGUUUAAAGCCCCCACUUAAGUGUUUUGAAAGUGAUCCCAUUUCUGCUAGAUCUCCAGCUUUCCAUGCUGUCUUUCUGCCGGAGGAUGUAAAGGUGCUUAAGGAAAUUAAGUGCAAUGGAUACGAUGCGAGAGCUAAUAAAUGGCAACUCUCUCGGUAGGGGCAAUAACUUACAUUUAUGUAUUUCCCUUCAAUUCUCAAAGUGUCUCCAGGUGCUUUGGAGACCACAUAAGGGAUUCCACCCUUCCUGCCAAUUCUGGGAAGAAAUUCUUUGAGGCUUAAGGAUUGUGCACAAUUCUGUCUAAUACCGGAGAAAGACACAAUUUGCUCGCUUCCCUGUCUAGUAUGUUCCUGUUGAAUUCCUUUGAUCUUGAAUCAUUCCAUGUUACUGUUUCAGGCCUUUUUCACACCUCUAUCUGAUGUCAGACCCGCUGUCACGCCCACUCCUUUAGCCAGAGCUGCUACUGUGCUGCUUCUUUCUUGCCACCUUUUGUAAAGCACAAAUCCUCUGUAUAAAUUCUGCAGUUGGGGAAAAUGCUUUGUUAUGUCCUAUGUAGUGCCUUUUUGGAUGAAUGCUGUCUAAGAAGACUGCACUUGGGUAAAUUAUUUGUUAGUGGCAGAAGAUGCUUAUGAUACAAGCGUGAAGUUCCUCCCUUAAUCAGUGCUGAGCUCCAGGACGCUCUGGCCCUCGUUCUCUAACCAUUCCCAUGGUGGGGACAGGCAGCUGCUGUCCUGCAGCAGCCCUGCAAGGCCGAGUACACAAGGAAAGGAAAAAGAGGCAUGUCUUUUUUGGUGUUCCUUUGGUCUUGAAAGCUUUGGGCACAACUUGGGUAGCAUCUAAACAUGGUUUUGUACUUCCAGAGAGAGACCCACCUUUGUAAACAAUUCAGUUGGACACAUGUAGGAGCCCUACAUAAGCACCAAAAGUAGAUUUGGGCUCCACGUUGAUAAGGCAAACAUGCAAACAGGAACAAUUUAAAAGACUAAGGGAUUCUGAGUUUCUUACAAUAGGCAAUACACCACAUACCUAAAGCUUUUUUAACUUCAAUAGAAAUCUAGAUAUGCCUUGUAAUACUCUUGAGGGAAGACCGUGAAUAAUACCGUUGCUGUCAACAAAGAAGAGGAAUCUGGGAACUGUGUGGAAGAAUCUAAAGCCAAGUUCUUUGGUGCUGAUGUAAGUCUGCAGUAAUACCAUUAGCACUGGCAGAGUGUGAUUUGCAGUGACGUGGUCAGGCAGAAUUUGUCUCUUCAUUCCCAGGGUGAAUGAAUGAGGAGAGAAAAGAUUCCUGAUGCAAUACGCUAUGGCCAUUGCGAUGGCAAUGGGAUAAGGAGGGACGUACUCGCUACCCCUUUUAGCCUCUGUUGGGUCCAGUACAUUGAGUUUGAAAAUAAUAAAAAGAAAAAAAAAUCAGAACCAAAGAAGAACUAAGAAACAUGGUGAAAACUAACAAGAUUAAGGGAUAUUACUGAGAAAAAGGCAAGAAACUGUGGAGAAAAUUGCAGAAAGCCUUUGGGACUUUGUUUCUUCAGAAGAAAGAACCUGUGUGGUUUGGAGGUCUAAGGCUUUGCAUUCCUGUGUGGCAGAAGCAGGAUAGAUGGGAAGCUUUAUCCCAGCACUUCCAGCUGCAGAUAUCUCUUUGUGAUCUAUAUGUAGAUUUUAAUUUCAUAUUAACUGUGUCCAUUUCUGUGAUACUUCCAUCACAUCCUAUUUUAACAGGGAUUCUUCUGCCAGCUGUGUUGUACGUAGGUCUCUGUACUCGUGCCAUCCAUACUGACACGUGCAAAGUUCUGCUUUCACAAUAAAUGGAAAUACUGAAUGUCUGUAAGUCAAGUGACACAGCCUUACUAGAUGUGUAUAAGCCAGUGUUGUCAGAAAGUCUGGAAGAUCUUUUAACGAAAAAGCACCAUUAACCAUUUUAGUCAUUACCAGGAACAAGCUCUUCACACUUGUUCAGCUUGCAAUUUUGGGGCAUUUACGGUACAAGAAGGUACACACACAUCAGUAGCUUAGAAUAAACAGUAUUUUCACAUGGCCCAAAUCAUGCUGAAAUUCAUUUUUGGAAAGAGUCUCAAGCAGCUUUUAAUGUUUAACCAUGAGUAUCUGUAAUAGCUGAGCUGCAAGGAGACAAUCCGUAGUAAUGAAAUUAGUAUCCUUGAAGUGAUUUCCAUUGAUUCGCUAGAUUGGAUAUGACUCAUUUUAUUUUUAUUUAAACUGCAAUUUAAGCUCCGUAACUUACUUGUGUAAGCAAAGCCUCAGAAUGAAGUGUACACCAGAAUGCAGAAUGUAACUCAGCCCAGCACAUUUGCAUCACUUGUUUUCAAAUGGCAUCUUUUUUUCUAUCAGGAUGAGGAGGUGCUAGAGAAGUGCCAAGUCAAACACACAGCCUGUGGUGAAGUCACCCCUGUGGUCUGGCAGCAAUGAGACUGGCAGUCUGAUUCUAGCAGGUGAAUCAACGCAAAGUCAUCUGUUUUCUUUUGUUCCU